AAUGUUGUAUCAUACCUUGCAAGGUUAGAAACUUGCAAUGGUUGUAUCUCCAUGCAAUAUCAAUAACAAGAUUUUCACUCAGUAUGACACUGGUUGCAAAGAUGGUGAAUUGCUUGUUAUAUUUUGACAUAUAACAAGCUCUGUGUCCCCACCCAAAUCUCAUGUCGAAUUGUAAUUCCCAGUGUUGAAGGAGGGGCCUGGUGGGAGGUGACUGGAUCAUGGGGACAGACUUCCCCCUUGCUGUUCUUGUAAGAGCGAGUGAGUUCUCAUGAGGUUUGAUUGUUUAAAAAUGUGUAGCAUUUCCCCCUUUUCUCUCUCUCUCCUGCCAGCUGUGUGAAAAUGUGCUUGCUUCCUUCCCCUUUGCCUUCCACCGUGAUUGUUAGUUUCCCGAGGCCUCCCAGAAGCAGAAGCCUGUACAGCCCACAGAAACUUCUUUGCGUAUGCUGUUUAAGAAAGCUCCGCCUAUCUUAAAGCUACAUUAUCAUACCUAAUCCUCAUCAUCCUGUAAGAGAAGAGGAGACACUGACACACAAGGAAUACAGUCACAUGAAGAUGGAGGCAGCGUGGAGUUACACCACCCCAAGCCAAGGAACACCUGAGGCUGCCAGAACCUGGAAGAGGCAAGGAAGAUUCUCCUAGAGGAUUCAGAGGGAGCAUGACCCUGCCAAGACCUUGAUUUUAGAUUUCUAUCCUCCAGAACUCUGAUAUAAUAAAUUUCUUUUGUUUUAAGCUACCCAGUUUGUAUGUGUGUGUGUGUGUGUGUUUUGUUAUAGCAACUCUAAGAAACUAAAACUGAUUUUGGGCAGGGCAUGGUGCCUCAUAUCUGUAAUCCCAGCACUUUGGGAGGCCAAGGCUGACAGAUCACCUGAGGCAGGAGUUCGAGACCAGCCUAGCCAACAUGGUGAAACCUCAUCUCUACUAAAAAAAUACAAAAAUUAGCCAGGCAUGGAAACCUCAUCUCGACUAAAAAAAAUACAAAAAUUAGCUGGGCAUGGUGGCGGGCACCAAUAAUCCCAGCUACUCGGGAGGCUGCGGCACGAGAAUCACUUGAACCCGGGAGGUGGAGGUUGCAGUGAGCUAUGAUCGCACCAUUGCACUCUAGCUUGAGUGACAAGAGCGAAACUCCAUCUCAAAAAAUAAAAUAAAACAGAUUUUGGUACUGGCAACUGGAGUGCUUCUGUAACAAAUACGUAAAAAUCUGGAAGUGGCUUUAGAAUUGGGUAAUUGGUAGAGAUCUCAAGAAUUUUGAAAUCCUUCAUGAAAAGGAA
rnacentral:lncRNA from 1 species